GUGUGUGUGUGUGUGUAUGCCUUCUGCACCCCCUCUCCUUUUUUCCUUUCCCCCCUGCCCCCACAGAUGGGGCAUGUGCUUUCAAUCGGUCCUGACCUGUGGGAAGGGCACUGCAGCUCCUGGGCCUGCUCCAUCCUGUGUAACUUUCUCUGCAGACACGGGGUUGCUGGUACACACUGUGUUUCUGAACUUAGAAGCUGCAGCCUCGGAGUCUCUUUGUGCGCAGAGACUUGUUACAGUGAUGUGUCCCUAGGAGUCAGGCACUGGAGAUCCCCAAGUCGCACUUUGCUGAGGUCACUCCCACUGUCUGCCUGGUAGGUGGACAAGAAGCACCACUGUCUCUGCCCACUUGUCCUCCACCUCCCACAGGACAGGGACUGUGGCCCUAGCACCCAGCACACUGAAAGCACUGGCAGCAGGUUCUGGAACCCUGGAGGGAAGGAAAGAGUGGAAUCUGGAGGGAGUGGGACCAGAGCAAGGCCUGAGACUUGUCUGGGGCAGUGCAGAGACUAGGCGUCCAAGCACGGGCCUUCCCGAAGCUUCUCUGCAAACACGGCAAGACAGAAGGCUAUCUGCAGAAGGGACAUGGAUGACGUCAGAUAUUCCAGGUUGGAAGCGUGGGCCCGUGAGGAGGUUCUCUCACAGAGGAGCCAUCACCCACGAGGAGGCUGAGACAGAGGGGCUGCUCCAAGCAAGGGAGAAGCCAUGGCAGAGUAGGGGAGUCUGCUCCCUGACAGGAUCCUGGAGCAAAGCCUCAGCCCACAGAUCUCCGAGGAGAAAGCAAGGCUGCUGUCCUCAAGAUUGCUCCCUGCUGAGGG